UGAUGGUAAGCUUCUGAUUUGUUUUUGGUUGUGUACAUAUAUUUGUUACAAAUUUGUUUAAGAAGCCACCUAGUAUUUAUGUUUUAUGUUGAACAGCAUAAGUGGGACAUUGAGGAUAAUGAGGAAAAUAGAAAAAAGAUAUGGACCAUCGCAAGUGAGCGUUACAAAGGAUGGCGGUCCACAUUUAGUGCUACGUACAGGGCGUACACCACCUAUGAUGUGAGAAUGAGACACAAGCCUGAAGAGUUGGACAUUGUUGAAUGGCACUAUCUGGUGUUGUAUUUUGGCAAUGAAAAAUUUCAGGAUAAUGCAAGCAGCAAAAGAAGGAAUCAAAUGGAGAUGCAAACAUCAUCUCAGAUGUGGAGCAAAACCAGAUUUUCCAGUCAGCUUAUAAGGAAACAAGAAAAUGCAAAUCAGCCAAGAUCCUUUCUAAUGGAUAGUUGGCAAGGUACCCAACUAGAAGGCAGCUACUCUCAGAGGAAUACCAGUACCACGUCCGUCAAGAUGCCGCACUCAUGGACACAUUUUCAAAGCUACAAGAAAGAAUUGAACCUCAAGAGGCUGAAAGGGAGAUCGAAAGGGAAGAACAUAGGCAUCAGAUGGAAGAAAUAUUGAAGUCAAGAGAGGCCGAUAGAGAAGCACUUAGGCAAGAGUUUAUGUCAAUGAUGCAAGCAGCACAAGGACAAGCAUCCUUACAACAGGCUAAUAAAGAUGGGAAACAAAUUGCAGAGGUUGCUGCUGCAACAAACAUGGUGGAAGGAAACGUAACUACAGAAAGUG